rnacentral:lncRNA from 1 species
GCUUGGUCCAUACAUUUACUUCAUUCAUGCAAAUAAGGAUAUACUAAUGAAGGGGCAUUCGUAUAUUUUUAUUUUUAUUUUGUUUUAUUUUGCAUUUCGUAUGUUAUCCAGUUUCACAUUCUCACAGGAUCAGCAAUGACAACAGCCAUUUAGUCUCCCAAGUCUGAAAUGGCAAGACAUUCACAGCUGUGGCUGACUACGUAAAGCACUGAUAUGCUCACAAAACAAAAAACAUUGCACAAUAUUUCCUUCAUUUCAUUUUUCUUAAACAAAUACCUGACAGGCUUAUGCUGAAGAAUGGAAAACCUUUUCUUCUUCCUGCCUCAAACUUAACAUUAAACUUAUGUGACAGAAUGAACAAGGUCACUUUAACAAUUAAUGGUACACACAUGAAAAAUCUUUUACGAUGCAUAAAUAUUUUGUUGCCAUGUUGCCCAGGCUGGUCUUGAAUUCCCAGCCUGGAGCAAUCCUCCCACCUUGGUGUCUCAAAGUGCUGGGAUUACAAGUGUGAGCCACUGUGCCUGGCCCAUUCAGAAUUGUUUUAAAGACUUUCUAUAUAUCUAUUAUGUAUCUAAAUUCAAAUUUGCUCUUUUGUUAAUAUGAUGAAUUACUUUACAUUGAUUGUUUUAAUUUAACACAUACUACAUUUAUUAUUUAGGGGUUUUGUUUGGUCUUGAAUAACAGAAAACUCCCAAGAUAUGCUCCACAAAUCAACAAGGUGCUGAUUUUUCUCCUAGGAGAGUCCAGAAAUAGGCCCUCGAUUGAUUAAAUGGUGCCCAGCCACGCUGGAUGAGGCCUGAUCUUCCUUACUCAACCUACGGAUUCCAAUGUCAAUCUGUUCUGGACUACCCUCACAGAUAUAUCCAAAAUUAAUGCUUUACCAGGUACCUGAGUAUCCUUAACCCAGUCAAAUUGACCCAUAAAGUUAACCAUCACACAGUGUUUCUCCAAUGUGUAUUAUCACAUGAGUGGUAAAAUAUGAAGAAUAAAUGAAGGAUUUUUCAUAUUGUUUACAAUUAUA